UUUUAGAUAAUAGUUACUACAGCCUUGGUUACGUUUUCUUUUCCAUUGAAAAAUAUAAAUAAAGCAAAGCAAUUAUGUGAGUAGAGCGAUAGAAGAAAGAGUAAACGAUUAAAAAUAACCUUUUUAUAUGAAAAAGGCAAAAGACUGCGGUCAACCUGAAACCUACUUAAGAAAAUGAAACGGCUACGGACAAUCGUGGACCGAAUUGCCAAGUUGCUUAUUACUGAGACUUAAUUUCUGUAAGGACCAUGGACAUUUCUGAUGAAUUUCAAUUCAUCUACCAUCGCGGUAGUCGAGUCAAGAAUAUCAUAUCUACGGUUCUACCGCCGAGUACAAACGAGGACGUGCCGUCGUUUUACAAAGUGAUGUAGUGUGUAUUUUACCGAAUCAGAUCUAAUCAUCUGAAAAUUAUAAAUAAAAAUCAUAAACAAUGGUGAAA